GACGAACGCUGGCGGCGUGCUUAACACAUGCAAGUCGAACGGAAAGGCCCUGCUUUUGUGGGGUGCUCGAGUGGCGAACGGGUGAGUAACACGUGAGUAACCUGCCCUUGACUUUGGGAUAACUUCAGGAAACUGGGGCUAAUACCGGAUAGGAGCUCCUGCUGCAUGGUGGGGGUUGGAAAGUUUCGGAGGUUGGGGAUGGACUCGCGGCUUAUCAGCUUGUUGGUGGGGUAGUGGCUUACCAAGGCUUUGACGGGUAGCCGGCCUGAGAGGGUGACCGGCCACAUUGGGACUGAGAUGCGGCCCAGACUCCUACGGGAGGCAGCAGUGGGAAAUAUUGCACAAUGGGCGGAAGCCUGAUGCAGCAACGCCGCGUGCGGGAUGACGGCCUUCGGGUUGUAACCCGCUUUCGCCUGUGACGAAGCGUGAGUGACGGUAAUGGGUAAAGAAGCACCGGCUAACUACGUG
rnacentral:rRNA from 1 species